UUGUAAAUAAUUUUUGUAGUCCUAGUUUUAGGCAGGAUAAAACCCUAGCUUAGAUAUUUUCCUCUUCGUUCUCUUACUCCUCUCUUCUCACCGUAAAUCUCUUCACUCGAUUCAUAUUAUUGAAACCAUGAACUGCAAAUUAAUUAAAAUUAUCUUUCCUAAACCUAUAGUUUGUAAACCAAAUACAUCUUCAGAAACCAAACCUAAUAUUUCAAUAAUCCAAAUCUCUUAUUGAACCCCAGAAGUUUGAUUUUCUCCGACAUAAUUCCGAGCAACUUAAUAUCUUUAUUCCCUGCACGAAAUAUUACAGACCAGUCCAAGAAGAUGAGUUUAGUAAACCCUGGUUUCUUUGUUUAUGGCGAUGUUGUGAGUGUAUAUAGUGAAAACAAAUCAAGGAUUCGCAAUUUUUAUGUUUCUUCAUUUGAUUUCAUGGAGUUUAAAUCAUGGUUUGGUUUAAAUUUCAGUUUUAUGAUCUCAAUUUUGAGUUAGAUUACUAUAUUUAUGUACAUCUGGUUGUAUUGAUUUUCUAGGGUUUAUUUUUGUUUUGAUUUGGUUUGUCUUAACAGUAUUCCAUCAUUUAGAUCUGAAAUUUGUUGGAUUUAUAAUGAGUUUGGUGUGUGAUUUUUUCAGACUAAGUAGAUUAUUCGAAAGCAGAGAAGCAGGAACAGUCAUAUUUUGGGUUAGUCAAGGACAACAACUUCAUGUAAGGUAUGUUGAGGAACACUUGAGAAUUUUCAAAUCUCUACUCAUCCUCAAUCAAAAGAGAAGACAUCGAUGACAUUGAUGGUGCUGAAUAAAAGCUUCAUGAAUGUAAGGAUGGGAGCCAUCUAAAUGACAUUGAUUAGACUAUGAAGUGGUGAAAACUUGGGGUUUCAAAACAUGCAAGCUUGUAUUAAAAUGGUGCAGGCAUUUAUGUUAGCAUCUCUCCUUCAGCUUACAUCAAGCUUGGAUUUUAUCAUGUAUUGGGUACCUCCAAUGUAAAUGAAGGAUUGUGCGGUCACUUAACUAAGUGUGAUUGCAUCUCUGGAGAUAAGUCCUAAUGGAAGUAUCAAUUAGCAGGAUCUUCGAGAAUUUCUGAAAUGGGAUGUUGUCCAUCUCGAUUUUCCAUUCCCUUCCAACUGAUAAGUUGGAGAUGACAUGAUCCAACUAUAGUCAGGCUUGUUUUCGUCGCCUGUGAGAUAUUUACUUGUGAAAUCGAGGUUAUCUUAAAGACAUUAAUGGAUGAUGACGAGUUCCAGCUGAAGGGAUUGCUCUCCUCAUUUAUGGGACCAAACCAUCCUCAUAUCCCUUUGCUAGUUGGGUACUUCAGUAAGUUACGCAAAUUUAUAAAGGUGUAUCAUGGUUAUGAUCAUAAGUUGUAGUUUGGCUUAUGCUGAGGAAGACAGUCCCACUAAUAAACUAUGUCCAAAUUCUCAUGUUACUAUAAUUUGGAGGAUACACUCUUGUGAAGAACUUAAAGGACCUGUUUCAAAGCUUUGGGUUUGACGCAUAUCCAGUAGUCAUUGGCCUUAUCAUCUUUCAGGUGUUGAUGGUAAGAAAGGUGGUGGUCGGCAUCAAGCGAACCUUACCCCAUGGAAGGAAAGACCCUGCAAGUGGAGGCAUCAGGUCAAAAAAUCUCCAAAAUCUACACUUUAGUGGUGAUUAUUUUGCAGAGUAAGAAAAAGACAUUCAUUGAUCACGUGUUGUCUUUUUUUAUCCCUCAUGUUAGGACCACAAUCACUGGGUUGCAUUUCUUUAAUCUGUAAUUUAUUUAUCUUUCAGAUUUGAAACUUUGAUGUUUGUAGUUUAUUGAUGUUGUAAAAUAAAUUCAGUUAUAAAGAUAAUGUUCAUGCAAUUUCAAAUUAUAGUUCGUUCA